rnacentral:rRNA from 1 species
AUUGAACGCUGGCGGCAUGCCUUACACAUGCAAGUCGAACGGCAGCGGGGGAGAAGCUUGCUUUUCCUGCCGGCGAGUGGCGAACGGGUGAGUAAUACAUCGGAACGUGCCCUGUAGUGGGGGAUAACUAGUCGAAAGAUUAGCUAAUACCGCAUACGACCUGAGGGUGAAAGUGGGGGACCGCAAGGCCUCAUGCUGUAGGAGCGGCCGAUGUCUGAUUAGCUAGUUGGUGGGGUAAAGGCCUACCAAGGCGACGAUCAGUAGCUGGUCUGGGAGGACGAUCAACCACACUGGGACUGAGACACGGCCCAGACUCCUACGGGAGGCAGCAGUGGGGAAUUUUGGACAAUGGGCGAAAGCCUGAUCCAGCAAUGCCGCGUGUGUGAAGAAGGCCUUCGGGUUGUAAAGCACUUUUGUCCGGAAAGAAAUGGCUCUGGUUAAUACCUGGGGUCGAUGACGGUACCGGAAGAAUAAGGACCGGCUAACUACGUGCCAGCAGCCGCCGUAA